AACUUAUAUCGUAUUUAUAUACAUCUGUACCAUAUCGUUCACAUAUUUGUGGAGGUUUAACGUUGGCAUUUCUGUUUCAAGGUGGUUCAAACACGUUGUAAAUAAUCCCUCUUUUUGGGAAAUGGAUCUAUUUGUACACAUUGUAACCUACAUGUCAUUCAUUUAUCAGAUGAUUGGAAUCCACGAGGCUAUAUUGGGGCAUUACCCGGAUAUAGCUUUCGUUUAAUUUGUUACUUUUAUUCAGACAAACUGAGGGUGGUUGCAGGAUUCAAAAAUGGUGUCUUUUUUUUUUGGGGGGGGGGGAUUGCAGGAAACACAACAUGAACUAUAUAUUUGUUUUUAGCUCACCUGAGCUAAAGGCUCAAAUGAUCUUUUCUGAUCAUAAGCCUUAAGUCAUUGUUGUUGUUGUUGUUGUCAUAUAAACUCUUCACAUUUCAUCUUCUCCAGAACCACUGGGCCUAUUUCAACCAUACUUGGUACUGUACAUGGUACAAUGCGUCACGUGUGACGUCACAAUCAGAAACAUGGCUUCAAAUCGAAAAAGUAUGGAGUUUUUCAAUACAGCGAAUUUUGCCGGAAAACGAAUCCGACUUCAAACCACGAAAUUUUAACAGGAAAGAGACAAUUUGAUGAGCUUUCAUUCAAGAGGUCCCUCGUUGCUGAACAAAAAUAUUGCCUGAGCUAUGAACCCUAUUGUUAACAUUACUGCCUAUGGAAAAUGCAUUGGUGGAUUAUACCCAUGCAAGGCAAAUAUCAGUGUCUUUAGCAUUAACAAACCUGGUUGGACGUGUAACAUUGGCUGAGAAAAAGAAAAUGGUCUUGGUGACAAACAAGAAAAAGUUGGGCCCAGCUUUACAGAAUGAGGAGGUUCAGGUGUGUGUUGUUUAUCAGAUGUGGAUAAGGAUAUUCUGCCAUGCUUCACUUCAAAAGAAGAUGCCACGCCUCAUUUUGCAGUGUCCAAAGGUCCAAGGUUGAUAGUGCAAUGUCAUCAAUGAUGCUGGAGGAAGCUUGAAAGCCUGAAGAAAAUCCACAUGUCCAAGUGAAUGACUACGAUACCCUUUCACACACAGCCACUGUCGAUUACAGGGAUCCAACUCGGAUGAGCUUCUUGGUACACUAAUCCUUGACAUUUGAGGAACCUUCUCAAGCAAGAGUACACCUGUCGUGUUUGCAGUUUCAAAUGUGUUUAGAUAUUACAAUGUAUAAAGAAUAAGUAUAAAUGUUGUUAAUCAUACUAAGAUUAUCAUGCUAUUUCUUAUGAGAGUUCAUUGUCCAUUAGAUUGUGAAAGAUGUAUAAUACAAAUCCUAAUGGAUUUAUAGACUACUCAAUUAUUAAAAGAGUGUAAAAUGCAAGAUUUGAUAUUUUCUUAAAGAUAUUGAUUAGUUAAUUAUCUAGCAUUAACAAACUUUAGUAGAAGGUUUAAAAGUGGAUGUAAAUGCAUAUAUUGAUCUGCAUUUUAAGUUUUUUGUUUUUUUUUAAUUUCAACUCCUGACAGUGUAUAUAUUUAUAUACUUAUUCUGCAAUGACUUUUCCAUAUAUGCAUUCAACACAGUUAAGGAAUGAAUUUAAGUUCUACCUAUAUUAUACGAUAUAACAUAACUUGGGGCAGUUUACGCUUUAUAAACCGCGAAGUGGUUUAUAAAAAAGCGUAAACUGUUCCAAUUAUGUUAUAAUCAUAUAACAUAGGUAGAACUUAAAUUUAUUCCUUAUAAUUUAAUUUUUUAGUUCUAAAAUCAGAAAAUAGGGCCCACUUAUUAGUUAAAAGAUGUUAAUUUGUACAAAAUUUAAACGUAAUGUCAAGAGGAUUAAUACGUUUCGCACGCGCGUCCUAUUAUGAUGUAGGCAAGUUAUGUUAUACGAUAUAUAUGAAUUUGUUUAGCCAAUCAAUUGAGGCGUUACAAUCAGAAUUAAAUUAUUCAGUUAUAGAAAGUAAUGUUUUUAUUUUUCAUGUUCAGGUUGAUAAUUGUAUUGCUAUCUGAUUUGUAGAUUGUGACUGUAUACAAUUGGUUUGCAUUAUUUCUUUCUUGUGAAAAUACAUGUACAUGUCAUUUACAAUAUUUAUGCAUUAUCUGUGCUGUUUAUAUUUUUAUGGCAUGCUUUUACUUAUUGAAUAUUACUUAUUCAAUAUGAAGGACUGCAUGUAAGGUAUCUUUAACAUGUUAAUAGCAAUG